AUUGAACGCUGGCGGCAGGCUUAACACAUGCAAGUCGAGCGAGCGGCGGACGGGUGAGUAAUGCCUGGGAAACUGCCUGAUGGAGGGGGAUAACUACUGGAAACGGUAGCUAAUACCGCAUACCAUCAGAUGUGCCCAGAUGGGAUUAGCUAUUAGGUGGGGUAAUGGCUAACCUAGGCGACGAUCCCUAGCUGGUCUGAGAGGAUGACCAUCCCCACUGGAAUGGAUACACGGUCCAGACUCCUACGUGAGGAAGCAGUGGGGAAUAUUGCACAAUGGGCGCAAGCCUGAUGCAGCCAUGCCGCGUGUUUGAAGAAGGCCUUCGGGUUGUAAAGCACUUUCAGCGAGGAGGCGUUACUCGCAGAAGAAGCACCGGCUAACUCCGUGCCAGCAGCCGCGGUAAUAC
rnacentral:rRNA from 1 species